GUAGCUCAGUCGGUAAAGAGUCUGCCUGCAAGGCAGGAGACCUGGGUUCAAUUCCUGGC
rnacentral:tRNA from 1 species